UGUGUAUUAUCAGUCAUGGUUAACAGAUAACUACCAUUUAAUACAAUUUUUUUCCCCCUCUCGCACACCGGCCACCUCACUAUGGGCCAGGAACGACAGUCCCUCCUCAACUCCCUCCACCUCCACACCAGCCCUCAACGUGCAGCGAACAGAGGAGCUUUGUGCUGUGAGGAAAAACAUGGUGACACGGUCUGCCACGGACACUGAGGUCACCAAACACGCAAUCAGGUGUUUCAAUCGGCGGGGGAUCGGGCAACGAGGAGAUGUGUUCCGCCUCCAUCCACACAAAUGGAGUAAUAGGAGAAAUAAGCAUUAAACAAUCUUUUUAUUGAA